rnacentral:rRNA from 1 species
ACAACCGAGGUGCAAAGGCUGUCGCUGACCCUCAAAGGUUGUGCACGCCCGAGCGCUCUCACACAAUCCAUCUCACCUUUGUGCAUCACCGCGUGGGUCCCCUUUGCGGGAGGGCUCGCGUUUUCACAUAAUAACUCGAUACAGUGUAGAAUGUUUCUUUUGCGGUCACACGCAAUCAAUACAACUUUCAACAACGGAUCUCUUGGCUCUCGCAUCGAUGAAGAACGCAGCGAAAUGCGAUACGUAAUGUGAAUUGCAGAAUUCAGUGAAUCAUCGAAUCUUUGAACGCACCUUGCGCCCCUUGGCAUUCCGAGGGGCACACCCGUUUGAGUGUCGUGAAUUCUUCAAAACCCUUUUUUCUUCGAACCAUCGUGGUCGGGAAAAGGAUUUUUGGACUUGGAGGUUUAAUGCUCGCCCUUUCUUUUGAAAGCGAGCUCCUCUCAAAUGAAUUAGUGGGGUCCGCUUUGCUGAUCCUUGACGUGAUAAAAUGUUUCUACGUUUUGGGUUUAGCACUGUCGCUUGGNUGCCUGCUCCUAACCCGUCUCAUUGACAAUGAUGGUGCUCUGGNCACUGCCGUCUACAUCGGCGGGAGGCUGGACCNACAAAAAGAAAAACCUUGA